UGAGCGGUCAACAAGCGCGGGCCUGGCGGAGCGGGGCGGCGCGCGGAGGCCGCGAGGCGACCGGGA
rnacentral:other from 1 species